rnacentral:tRNA from 1 species
AAGAAUAAUUUAUAAAGGAGCCGCUAACUACCUUUUAAGUGUAAAACACUUUAUUCUUA